ensembl:rRNA 5S_rRNA 5S ribosomal RNA
GUCUGCAGCCAUACCACCCUGAACAUGCCAGAUCUGGUUUGUUCUCAGAAGCUAAGCAGGGUUGAGCCUGGUUAGUAUUUGGAUGGGAGAAAUGAUACAUGCUCGAGGUGAGAGAUA